rnacentral:rRNA from 2 species
GUGAUGAAGGUUUUCGGAUCGUAAAGCUCUGUUGUUAGGGAAGAACAAGUGCAAGAGUAACUGCUUGCACCUUGACGGUACCUAACCAGAAAGCCACGGCUAACUACGUGCCAGCAGCCGCGGUAAUACGUAGGUGGCAAGCGUUGUCCGGAAUUAUUGGGCGUAAAGGGCUCGCAGGCGGUUUCUUAAGUCUGAUGUGAAAGCCCCCGGCUCAACCGGGGAGGGUCAUUGGAAACUGGGAAACUUGAGUGCAGAAGAGGAGAGUGGAAUUCCACGUGUAGCGGUGAAAUGCGUAGAGAUGUGGAGGAACACCAGUGGCGAAGGCGACUCUCUGGUCUGUAACUGACGCUGAGGAGCGAAAGCGUGGGGAGCGAACAGGAUUAGAUACCCUGGUAGUCCACGCCGUAAACGAUGAGUGCUAAGUGUUAGGGGGUUUCCGCCCCUUAGUGCUGCAGCUAACGCAUUAAGCACUCCGCCUGGGGAGUACGGUCGCAAGACUGAAACUCAAAGGAAUUGACGGGGGCCCGCACAAGCGGUGGAGCAUGUGGUUUAAUUCGAAGCAACGCGAAGAACCUUACCAGGUCUUGACAUCCUCUGACAACCCUAGAGAUAGGGCUUUCCCUUCGGGGACAGAGUGACAGGUGGUGCAUGGUUGUCGUCAGCUCGUGUCGUGAGAUGUUGGGUUAAGUCCCGCAACGAGCGCAAC